UCCGUUGCAAGAUUAAACUCAAAGGAAUUGCGGGGACCGCACAAGCGGUGGAUGAUGUGGAUAAUUCGAUGCAACGCGAAAACCUUACCUACCCUUGACAUGUCUGGAAUCCCGAAGAGAUUUGGGAGUGCUCGCAAGAGAACCGGAACACAGGUGCUGCAUGGCUGUCGUCAGCUCGUGUCGUGAGAUGUUGGGUUAAGUCCCGCAACGAGCGCAACCCUUGUCAUUAGUUGCUACGAAAGGGCACUCUAAUGAGACUGCCGGUGACAAACCGGAGGAAGGUGGGGAUGACGUCAAGUCCUCAUGGCCCUUAUGGGUAGGGCUUCACACGUCAUACAAUGGUCGGGACAGAGGGUCGCCAACCCGCGAGGGGGAGCCAAUCCCAGAAACCCGAUCGUAGUCCGGAUCGCAGUCUGCAACUCGACUGCGUGAAGUCGGAAUCGCUAGUAAUCGCGGAUCAGCAUGUCGCGGUGAAUACGUUCCCGGGUUUUGUACACACCGCCCGUCACANCAUGGGAGGGGGUCUUUCCAGAAGUACNUAGNNUAAUUCACAUNUUG
rnacentral:rRNA from 1 species